rnacentral:tRNA from 1 species
GUAUAUAGCUCAGUGAUAGAGCCAUUGCCUAGCACGCAUGAGGUCCUGGGUUCAAUCCCUAGUACUGCA